rnacentral:rRNA from 1 species
AUGAACGCUAGCUACAGGCUUAACACAUGCAAGUCGAGGGGCAUCAGGAAGAAAGCUUGCUUUCUUUGCUGGCGACCGGCGCACGGGUGAGUAACACGUAUCCAACCUGCCCUUUACUCGGGGAUAGCCUUUCGAAAGAAAGAUUAAUACCCGAUGGCAUAAUGAUUCCGCAUGGUUUCAUUAUUAAAGGAUUCCGGUAAAGGAUGGGGAUGCGUUCCAUUAGGUUGUUGGUGAGGUAACGGCUCACCAAGCCUUCGAUGGAUAGGGGUUCUGAGAGGAAGGUCCCCCACAUUGGAACUGAGACACGGUCCAAACUCCUACGGGAGGCAGCAGUGAGGAAUAUUGGUCAAUGGGCGCUAGCCUGAACCAGCCAAGUAGCGUGAAGGAUGAAGGCUCUAUGGGUCGUAAACUUCUUUUAUAUAAGAAUAAAGUGCAGUAUGUAUACUGUUUUGUAUGUAUUAUAUGAAUAAGGAUCGGCUAACUCCGUGCCAGCAGCCGCGGUAAUACGGAGGAUCCGAGCGUUAUCCGGAUUUAUUGGGUUUAAAGGGAGCGUAGGUGGACUGGUAAGUCAGUUGUGAAAGUUUGCGGCUCAACCGUAAAAUUGCAGUUGAUACUGUCAGUCUUGAGUACAGUAGAGGUGGGCGGAAUUCGUGGUGUAGCGGUGAAAUGCUUAGAUAUCACGAAGAACUCCGAUUGCGAAGGCAGCUCACUGGACUGCAACUGACACUGAUGCUCGAAAGUGUGGGUAUCAAACAGGAUUAGAUACCCUGGUAGUCCACACAGUAAACGAUGAAUACUCGCUGUUUGCGAUAUACAGUAAGCGGCCAAGCGAAAGCAUUAAGUAUUCCACCUGGGGAGUACGCCGGCAACGGUGAAACUCAAAGGAAUUGACGGGGGCCCGCACAAGCGGAGGAACAUGUGGUUUAAUUCGAUGAUACGCGAGGAACCUUACCCGGGCUUAAAUUGCAGUGGAAUGAUGUGGAAACAUGUCAGUGAGCAAUCACCGCUGUGAAGGUGCUGCAUGGUUGUCGUCAGCUCGUGCCGUGAGGUGUCGGCUUAAGUGCCAUAACGAGCGCAACCCUUAUCUUUGGUUACUAACAGGUCAUGCUGAGGACUCUAGAGAGACUGCCGUCGUAAGAUGUGAGGAAGGUGGGGAUGACGUCAAAUCAGCACGGCCCUUACGUCCGGGGCUACACACGUGUUACAAUGGGGGGUACAGAAGGCAGCUAGCGGGUGACCGUAUGCUAAUCCCAAAAUCCUCUCUCAGUUCGGAUCGAAGUCUGCAACCCGACUUCGUGAAGCUGGAUUCGCUAGUAAUCGCGCAUCAGCCACGGCGCGGUGAAUACGUUCCCGGGCCUUGUACACACCGCCCGUCAAGCCAUGGGAGCCGGGGGUACCUGAAGUACGUAACCGCAAGGAUCGUCCUAGGGUAAAACUGGUGACUGGGGCU